rnacentral:rRNA from 1 species
GAUGAACGCUGGCGGCGUGCCUAAUACAUGCAAGUCGAGCGAACGGACGAGAAGCUUGCUUCUCUGAUGUUAGCGGCGGACGGGUGAGUAACACGUGGAUAACCUACCUAUAAGACUGGGAUAACUUCGGGAAACCGGAGCUAAUACCGGAUAAUAUUUUGAACCGCAUGGUUCAAAAGUGAAAGACGGUCUUGCUGUCACUUAUAGAUGGAUCCGCGCUGCAUUAGCUAGUUGGUAAGGUAACGGCUUACCAAGGCAACGAUGCAUAGCCGACCUGAGAGGGUGAUCGGCCACACUGGAACUGAGACACGGUCCAGACUCCUACGGGAGACAGCAAUAGGGAAUCUUCCGCAAUGGGCGAAAGCCUGACGGAGCAACGCCGCGUGAGUGAUGAAGGUCUUCGGAUCGUAAAACUCUGUUAUUAGGGAAGAACAUAUGUGUAAGUAACUGUGCACAUCUUGACGGUACCUAAUCAGAAAGCCACGGCUAACUACGUG